rnacentral:rRNA from 1 species
UACGGAGGGAGCUAGCGUUAUUCGGAAUUACUGGGCGUAAAGCGCACGUAGGCGGCUUUGUAAGUAAGAGGUGAAAGCCCAGAGCUCAACUCUGGAAUUGCCUUUUAGACUGCAUCGCUUGAAUCAUGGAGAGGUCAGUGGAAUUCCGAGUGUAGAGGUGAAAUUCGUAGAUAUUCGGAAGAACACCAGUGGCGAAGGCGACUUACUGGACACAUAUUGACGCUGAGGUGCGAAAGCGUGGGGAGCAAACAGGG